rnacentral:rRNA from 1 species
GAUGAACGCUGGCGGCGUGCCUAAUACAUGCAAGUCGAGCGAACAGACGAGGAUCUUUCUCCUCUGACGUUAGCGGCGGACGGGUGAUUAACACGUGGAUAACCUACCUAUAAGACUGGGAUAACUUCGGGAAACCGGAUCUCAUACCGGAUAAUAUAUUGAACCGCAUGGUUCAAUAGUGAAAGACGGUUUUGCUGUCACUUAUAGAUGGAUCCGCGCCGCAUUAGCUAGUUGGUAAGGUAACGGCUUACCAAGGCAACGAUGCGUAGCCGACCUGAGAGGGUGAUCGGCCACACUGGAACUGAGACACGGUCCAGACUCCUACGGGAGGCAGCAGUAGGGAAUCUUCCGCAAUGGGCGAAAGCCUGACGGAGCAACGCCGCGUGAGUGAUGAAGGUCUUCGGAUCGUAAAACUCUGUUAUUAGGGAAGAACAAAUGUGUAAGUAACUAUGCACGUCUUGACGGUACCUAAUCAGAAAGCCACGGCUAACUACGUG